UGGCGGACGGGUGAGUAAUGUCUGGGAAACUGCCCGAUGGAGGGGGAUAACUACUGGAAACGGUAGCUAAUACCGCAUAACGUCGCAAGACCAAAGGGGGGACCUUAGGGCCUCUUGCCAUCGGAUGUGCCCAGAUGGGAUUAGCUAGUAGGUGGGGUAACGGCUCACCUAGGCGACGAUCCCUAGCUGGUCUGAGAGGAUGACCAGCCACACUGGAACUGAGACACGGUCCAG
rnacentral:rRNA from 1 species